AACGAACGCUGGCGGCGGGCCUCAUACAUGCAAGUCGAGCGCGAAAGUCCGCAAGGAUGAGUAAAGCGGCGCACGGGUGAGUAACACGUGGAUAAUCUACCCUUUGGAUUGGAAUAACCUGUCGAAAGACGGGCAAAUGCCGAGUAAGCUUACGAGUUCGUGAAGUUCUUGUAAGGAAAGAUGGCGCAAGCUAUCGCCGAUGGAUGAGUCUGCGUCCCAUUAGUUAGUUGGUGGGGUAACGGCUUACCAAGACAAUGAUGGGUACCUGGUCUGAGAGGAUGACCAGGCACACUGGAACUGAAACACGGUCCAGACUCCUACGGGAGGCAGCAGUAGGGAAUAUUGCGCAAUGGACGAAAGUCUGACGCAGCCACGCCGCGUGAGUGAGGAAGGCCUUCGGGUGUUAAAGCUCUGUCAUUCGGGACAAACGGGCUAUCCGGGAAAGUUCGGGUAGCGUGAUGGUACCGAAGGAGGAAGGCACCGGCAAACUCUGUGCCAGCAGCCGCGGUAA
rnacentral:rRNA from 1 species